AUACUUACCAGGACUAGGUCAUGGGUGAUCAAUAAGGCCCAUGGCCUAGGCUGGUGGCCUCCAUUGCACUUUGGAGGGAUGUCUGCCUAAGGCUGGCCAAAGUGGUCGAGCCUACAUCAUAAUUUAUGGCAGUGGGAGCCUACUUUCGUGCGGCCCCAA